ensembl:lncRNA
GCAGAUACAAGGAAGACUAACAGCUUCAGAAACACCAGAGCAAGGCAUACCAUUUACAUUAACACUCAGGGAGGAAGAAGAUUGACCUACUUGAAGGAGAGAAGAAAGCAGCACCAGCUGAAGAAUCUGGGGACCGUCUGCCACCUCUUCUGCCAGAUGGGUGAAAGGUGCGUCCUUCCUGCAGUGCCUCCACAUUGCUGGGUGCUCGCCCUUACAGCAGUAAUUAUAAGGGAGAAAUGUAGCUGUAUACAAUCAAUUCCGUAUUAAGCAUCCUCUCCUGUUAUUUAACGUUGAACUGAUGCAGAGCUUAAUGACUCACUACUUUCUGACAAAUAAUAAAUAUACCACACAGAGGCA